UACAGAGGGGGCAAGCGUUAUUCGGAAUUAUUGGGCGUAAAGGGCGCGUAGGCGGCUUGGCAAGUGGAUGGUGAAAUCCCUCGGCUUAACCGAGGAACUGCCGUCCAAACUGCUUUGCUUGAGACCGGGAGAGGUGAGUGGAAUUCCCAGUGUAGCGGUGAAAUGCGUAGAUAUUGGGAGGAACACCAGUGGCGAAGGCGGCUCACUGGACCGGUACGUGACCGCUGAUGCGCGAAAGCG
rnacentral:rRNA from 1 species